GUGGAAAUUUGAAACGGUCUUUCCUACUGUUCCUCCUUCAACAACCAGAGGAAAGGAUAUCUGGCUCCUGCAAGGUGCCUUUGGCCAGAGCCGGGAUGGCGGUGGCCUACGCUUGCUUAACUGACUGAAAAAUGAAGAUUUAUCUGCACAUCUGUGAAGCACUCCCUAGACACAACCAUGUGAUGUGUCUUAACCGCCCUUGCUUAGAUGGUGGGAGACUAGAACAGGAGGAGACUCAGUCUAGUGAACCCUAUGAAUUGACAAUGCUGGCCUUCACCACUGCCUCCAGGACAACCAUCUCUGCAGCUGGGGCUGUUUGCUACUAUGCUUGCCCGGCCCUUAGGGCACACAAAGAGAUGAAGAGGAUAUUUUGGAUUUUGAGGGGCCACACAGAUGUGAGAGUUCACAAA